rnacentral:rRNA from 1 species
GCAGUGGGGAAUAUUGGACAAUGGGCGAAAGCCUGAUCCAGCCAUGCCGCGUGUGUGAAGAAGGUCUUCGGAUUGUAAAGCACUUUAAGUUGGGAGGAAGGGCAUUAACCUAAUACGUUGGUGUUUUGACGUUACCGACAGAAUAAGCACCGGCUAACUCUGUGCCAGCAGCCGCGGUAAUACAGAGGGUGCAAGCGUUAAUCGGAAUUACUGGGCGUAAAGCGCGCGUAGGUGGUUUGUUAAGUUGAAUGUGAAAUCCCCGGGCUCAACCUGGGAACUGCAUCCAAAACUGGCAAGCUAGAGUAUGGUAGAGGGUGGUGGAAUUUCCUGUGUAGCGGUGAAAUGCGUAGAUAUAGGAAGGAACACCAGUGGCGAAGGCGACCACCUGGACUGAUACUGACACUGAGGUGCGAAAGCGUGGGGAGCAAACAGGAUUAGA